GCGCUCGUAGCUCAGCUGGAUAGAGCAACGGAUUUCUAAUCCGUAGGUCGGGGGUCCGAAUCCCUCCGGGCGCG
rnacentral:tRNA from 1 species